AAUCCCACCAAAGGGGAGUAGCGUCCGGUUUUUACCGGAAACAAAGUCGUCAUUACAUGGACUUAAGUUCCAUCGGCUUUGUUGGCAUGAUUCUACAUAUCACAUGUC
rnacentral:sRNA from 2 species